UAGGGAAUCCUCCACAAUGGACGCAAGUCUGAUGGAGCAACGCCGCGUGAGUGAAGAAGGGUUUCGGCUCGUAAAGCUCUGUUGUUAAAGAAGAACGUGGGUAAGAGUAACUGUUUACCCAGUGACGGUAUUUAACCAGAAAGCCACGGCUAACUACGUGCCAC
rnacentral:rRNA from 1 species